rnacentral:rRNA from 1 species
AGCGAACGCUGGCGGCAUGCCUAACACAUGCAAGUCGCACGGGGGGGCUUCGGCCUCCCAGUGGCGGACGGGUGAGGAACGCGUAGGGACCUGUCGAGGGGUGGGGGAUAACCGCGGGAAACUGCGGCUAAUACCGCAUGACGCCGCGGCGUGACAGCCGGGGCCAAAGGCGAAAGCCGCCCGCCGAGGGGCCUGCGUCCGAUUAGCUGGUUGGCGGGGUAGCGGCCCACCAAGGCGUCGAUCGGUAGCUGGUCUGAGAGGGUGAUCAGCCACACCGGGACUGAGACACGGCCCGGACUCCUACGGGAGGCAGCAGUGGGGAAUAUUGGACAAUGGGCGCAAGCCUGAUCCAGCAAUGCCGCGUGGGUGAAGAAGGUCUUCGGAUUAUAAAGCCCUUUCGGCGGGGACGAUGGUGACGGUACCCGCAGAAGAAGCCCCGGCUAACUUCGUG